GCAGGACAGUAGGAGAGGCAGGACAGUAGGAGAGGCAGGACAGUAAGAGAGGCAGGACUGUAGGGCUGAAAGGUGCUCAGCUUGUGUUGCUGCAGCUGUGCCCCGUCACCAAGAUCAUCGACCUGCUGGAGGUCAGUCUCAACACAUGACUUGUCAGGUCCAAAAUCCAGAUUUCAACUGUUUUUGUAUCAUUCCGUUCCAGAAGUCUCCCCAUUGUGAGUGAUGACAUAGAUUAUGAAGAGCUCAGUGGAGCGUCUUUACGUAAGUACAGAAGAUUAACACGACUUCUCCUCUAAUGAUAUAAGACCAUAUGAAAAGUCAUUUUCUAGAUUUGUCUAAAUCUCUUUUCUGAAGUGGCUUGGGAAAUCACGAAAACACAACUUCUAGCCUUCAGUGUGGCACAGAUAACUUUGUGUUUCUAUGAAACUCCUCCGAUAUGAAAGAAGUGAAGGAUGAGCUAGGAUCAGGCUGCUGAGGGGGUCGUGGUGACACUGAGCAUGCUCAGAACACUCUGGAGGGGGAGUCACCUGGUUACCAGGAAGCUGGUGUUGCUAGUGGUUACUGGGAUGGUAGAGGCUGCAUUGAAUGACUGAGAGCCAGUUGAUCGUCAUCGCAUGCAACUGAAGAUUUAAAGAUCAGCUGUUAUUGUAGGUGUGAGGCAUUGUUUAAACCAGCGCUGAGUUUGUAAUGAAAGACCAGCUGACUCUGUGAGCAAGUGGGUACUCAGCUGACUCUGUGAGGUAGUGGGUACUCAGCUGACUCUGUGAGGUAGUGGGUACUCAGCUGACUCUGUGAGGUAGUGGGUACACCAGCUGACUCUGUGAGGUAGUGGGUACUCAGCUAACUCUGUGAGGUAGUGGGUACUCAGCUAACUCUGUGAGGUAGUGGGUACUCAGCUAACUCUGUGAGGUAGUGGGUACUCAGCUGACUCUGUGAGGUAGUGGGUACACCAGCUGACUCUGUGAGGUAGUGGGUACUCAGCUAACUCUGUGAGGUAGUGGGUACUCAGCUAACUCUGUGAGGUAGUGGGUACUCAGCUGACUCUGUGAGGUAGUGGGUACUCAGCUGACUCUGUGAGGUAGUGGGUACUCAGCUGACUCUGUGAGGUAGUGGGUACUCAGCUGACUCUGUGAGGUAGUGGGUACUCAGCUGACUCUGUGAGGUAGUGGGUACUCAGCUGACUCUGUGAGGUAGUGGGUACUCAGCUGACUCUGUGAGGUAGUGGGUACUCAGCUGACUCUGUGAGGUAGUGGGUACUCAGCUGACUCUGUGAGGUAGUGGGUACUCAGCUGACUCUGUGAGGAAGUGGGUACCCCAGCUGACUCUGUGUGUGAGGUAGUUUCUCAGCCCACAGUUUAGAAUCGACAGGAGACACUUUGUAGUCCUCCCUCAUUCCAUCAGGCUAAAAAUAGAUGAGAUGAAGCAGAGAUAACACAAGUCCCUGAAGAGACCACCUCACACUGCUCCCCUUCAGAGCACACCACGCUCUGCGUACCCACUGCAACAUCCCUUCAGUCUUACAUGACACACACUGGAAAGUUACACACAAGAGUAAGAUGCAUGAUGUGGGGAAGGGAGAAUGGCCUGCAGUGUGUGGUGUGUCCGUUUGGGAUUAGAUUCUUAAGUCCUCCGCUGAACCUUCUGUCUGCACUAUAUGAACGUCUCUUGGGAGAAAAGAGUAAGCAGACUCAAGCAGAAUGAUUGAUAUGUAGAUGGUAGGAGUAGAGAAAGAGAAAGCUUUCUGAUCUGCUGUGGGUCCCACACCAGGUCCCAGACAAGCCAGGGAGAGGGGUGAGGUGGGGGGUGAGGUGGGGGGUGAGGGUGAGAGGAGGGGACUGACGGUGUGACAGAGUGCCUGAGAGCCUGUCAGACUUCGUCAGCAUUAGUCUGCAUCUGGCUGGGCCCUGUCCUCCAGCGAACAUCCACAGCGCCGGUCCACGAGAACCCUCCCAGUCACCUGAGCAACCCUACACUUCCCCCUAGCUAGCAUGGCACUCUGCACCUCCCCCUAGCUAGCAUGGCACCCUGCACCUCUGACUAGCUAGCAUGGCACGCUAAACCUCCCCCUAGCUAGCAUGGCACGCUGCACCUCCCCCUAGCUAGCAUGGCACCCUGCACCUCCCCCCAGCUAACAUGGCACCCUGCACCUCUGACUAGCUAACAUGGCACCCUGCAAUUCCCCCUAGCUAGCAUGGCACUCUGCACCUCCCCCUAGCUAGCAUGGCACGCUGCACCUCCCCCUAGCUAGCAUGGCACCCUGCACCUCUGACUAGCUAGCAUGGCACGCUGCACCUCCCCCUAGCUAGCAUGGCACGCUGCACCUCUCCCUAGCUAGCAUGGCACCCUCCCCCCAGCUAGCAUGGCACCCUACACCUCUGACUAGCUAGCAUGGAACGCUGCACCUCCCCCUAGCUAGCAUGGCACCCUGCACUUCCCCCUAGCUAGCAUGGCACCCUGCACUUCCCCCUAGCUAGCAUGGCACGCUGCACCUCUGACUAGCUAGCAUGGCACGCUGCACCUCCCCCUAGUUAGCAUGGCACGCUGCACCUCCCCCUAGCUAGCAUGGCACGCUGCACCUCUGACUAGCUAGCAUGGUACGCUGCACCUCUGACUCGCUAGCAUGGCACGCUGCACCUCUGACUAGCAUGGCACGCUGCACCUCUGACUAGCUAGCAUGGCACGCUGCACCUCUGACUAGCAUGAUAGCAGGCUUCCAGUUCCUCACACCUCAGCAUUACUGUGGAAUACGAGAUGUGAUCUGCACAUGACAUGUGAAGUGCUUUUGAAAGUGUUUUCUAAAUAGUCUGAGCAGAUCACCCUCAAUUACACUCAUGCCAAACAAUCCUGCCUUUAUUAUGCAACUGUUCUGUGUCUGAAUUAGUCCCAGGUUCUUUAGCUGUUGGUUCUCAUGCUCAGGGUCUCACCCUCCUGUCUGCUAAUGGAGACCUUUGUUUAGUGACACACAUUUGAGUCUCUCGUAGAGGGGAUGAAUGCUAAAUAAACAAUUAGGAUGGAGCCUAUUGUGUCUCAGGAAUGAUGACAUUCCAGAUAUGACUAUUAUAGAAGCUGAUUAUCGUUACAUCCUACUGACUCGGAUGAGAAGGCAAUAAUGGGACACUGUAAACAGGACAGGCAUCAGGGAUGUUGAAUCACAACAGAACAGUUCUGGUAUGGCCAUAUCUCGGUUAUUUUCUGUGUGUGAAAACUGAACGUUAAGAAUGUAAAUAUGCUGGGAUAAUUUAAUGCUCCAUUGACUCCCUGUGACGUGUUAUGAUGGAUCUAGAACACCAGCACUGUGUUCACCAGAUAUAAAACCCGCCAAAUAAAUUCAAGACUGUGAGAUUUACAGAUGUUUGGAACUAUUCCGCUAAAACUGAUGUAAAUAAAUCUAACCCUAACUGUCAAAUUCACAGCCACAAAUUUAGUUUUCUUAUUGUUGUAUUUUUCCAUCGUAUACAGUUGUGAAGAGCUACAGUAGUUAUGUGUGCAGGUAUGGUUUAAAUAGCCGCUGUGAUCGGAAUGCACACCGUUUAACAACCUCUUACACACAAGUAUGCCGCUAAACCCAAAGGCAACAAGGAAUCAGCAAGCAGGACUGAUACGAUAUAAUCAACAAAUCUUACAUUUCAAUCUUUAAAUAAUCUUUGCCUGUAGCAGCUAUCUAAAUAUUUAUACCUGGGGCAGACAUUUGCACAGAUAUGUAGGGAAAGUAUUAGUAUAGUGGUGUAGCAAAAGGCCUUAUUACCGAUCAUAAAUAAUGAGCCAAAGAUGAAACUGAUAUGUAGCGAGUUUUAGUAUCAGUGCUGACAUUUAGUGAUACAGGUUAGUAAUGAUGCAAGCGGGUGUCCGAGGCAGCGGGCUGGUGAGUUAUUCCCCACGAGGGUGAGAACAGGUUAGCCUUCGAGAGGCAUAAGCGGUAUUUAUAGAGGCUGUCAGCGCGGACCGAGGUCCCUAGCGCCUGCUAAUUGUGCUCUCAGGUAAAGCAGGGCUGCAGAAUCUCCUGCUGCAUCACAGCCAGCGCUGCCUCGACCCUCCUCACUAACAACAUCCGUCGGUAGCUUGUUUCUCAAACCCGCUGGGUCGUCCCCGGGUCGUCUUCAUUGAGAACGAUGCUGAAAACGCCUCCUUUAAAAGCCAACUGCGGCAGGAAGCAGAUUACUGGAAGGGCGUCUUCCUCCUGACGCAGCACUCUGACACGCCAACAUACCAGACCAGCCUCACACCCACUCGACAACAUCAAUUGGGGGGCUCCACUGUGAAGGCUUACAGAGAUCUAGGGGCUCAAUUCAGCUCAACACAGAGAGUUUUGGCUGGUAGACCAAGUCAAUCCUGAGCUUGAAUCUGCUACCAUGAAAAUCUGUGUUAAAUUGCAUCACACUCUGUGCCAGAAUUAGCUGCUCACUGUACUGUGCACAGAUGGCAGAGGCUGUGCACCCUGCGAAUGCCUCGCAUUCCCAUCCAGCCAGACUGCCCCUUCCUUAAUCCUAAUUAGGAAUGUAAUUUCCACCCCAGCCCUUUCCAAGUGUGAUGAAAGGCCUGUAGUUGUUGGAUAGAGAGUAUGACGAGAAGCAUUCAGUGAAUCUUUUUCUUUUUUUCCUGUAUGUGAAAUACUAUGAUUACUAAAACAACCCAAGAUAUAGUAACUGCGGUGAGUUAUUUCUCAUGGGGGUUUUUAUGUUGUUCAUAUAGUAAACCCUGCUGGUGCUCUGUUCUGUAAUACGUUUAUGUUUAGGUUAAACCUCCAGUAGUGAAAGCUACAUUAUAAAUAUCCUCAUCCUAUAUCCAAAGCUUUAAGCCCAUCCCUGCGUCACAACCUACACCUCCUCCUUCAUCUCUGCAUGGCUGAUAUGAACAUGUCCAUACUGCCCUCCUCACCACACAAAUCCUUCAUAAUUCCCCUCGAGAUCAAAAGACACAUCUCCACUCGAGCGCUUUGUUGUCAGUUAAAUCUGAACGCUAUUCAUGUUCACAACAACCCCACCGGUACAGUCCAACCUGCUGCCGUGCUGGCCGUGCAGUGGGACAGAGGCUCAGCCAUUGUAGCCUGGGCUGUGGUGAUAAGCAGCCAUUGUUAAGUGUGUGGCUGGACGUCAGAAAGCAGUGAGGUAAGGCUUGUCUGACAGCUGAAUAAUAACACCACACUGCUAGCAGAGCCAUGUUGACUUAGCACGAGCAAAAGCCUUAAUCCGACCCACUUCCUGCAACAAACGAUGGUCAUUUCCUCUGCUGAAAAUGGCAGCAAGUCUCCUGUGCCAGUCCCUUUGGGGCCAUGCGGGACAGCCAGCACGGUGGGUUGUUUACAGCCUUUUUAUCUCCUUAUUUAGGUCGUCGUGAACAAUAAUCAUGUUGGUUGUUGUACACAUGCCAGUUCCCUGAGACAUGUUCCAGGACCGGAGCUGGUCCUUGUUCUGCAGCCACACAGCUGUGGGGUCGGCAGCCUGGACUAGGAGCGGAGCUGGACGCUCCCAAAGCUUAUGAAGUCUCCAUAAUAGGGCCUCCCGACUGCAUUCAGUCCAGUCAUCAAGAUGUUAUCUGCUCUAGAACAGCAGCACAAACCCAGAGCUCCUAUUGUGCUGCGCUCCAGCAUGGCCCCCCCACAGCCUGGAUGAUUCACUGGCCUUUGUUUGCACUUCUGAACAACAAAAGCCAACUUGUGCAGCAACUCUGAAGGCGAGGACUGGUCAUAAACUGUCUGGCAAAUGAUUCUCUUAUGUACUCUAUUAAGGAGAACGACACAUCUCUACUGCCAUUGUUCUGAGAUGAGACUGGUUCCAGGUCUGCACGUGCAAGGAGGGCGGCGGAACAUCAGAUACUAACUCCUCUGUCUCUGCUCCUGAGCAUAGGAUGCUGAAGAGGUGGGUGGUGGACGAAGAUGACUUCUCCAGACGUUGUUCCUGCCCACAGACGCAGAGAGAGUGAGUAACAGGUAAGAAAUAAAGCAUGAGUUAUUUUCAGUUAUUCGGUGCUAAUUAACGUCAGCUUUAACGCUGUUGCUCUUAAUGACGUCCGUGACCGAAAAAUCCAAAGUGUCGGAUCAUCCACCGUCCUCAUGAGGGCUGUGACAUGAGGCAGUAUGGAGGCAGUAUGGAGGCAGUAUGGAGGCAGUAUGGAGGCAGUAUGGAGGCAGUAUGGAGGCAGUAUGGAGGCAGUAUGGGCCUGAUAUACUAACAUCAAAUGAUUUGUGAAUUUGUUGUUGAUACCAUGUGCAUCAUUUACCAGAGUUUUGUUGUUCAGUGUCAACGGUUUUGAUCAACUGUUCAGAUGAUCACAUGAAUACAAAUGGAUGUUUUAAAGGAUGUUUUAAUGGAUGUUUUAAUGGAUGUUUUAAAGGAUGUU